rnacentral:lncRNA from 1 species
CGCCAGGUUAAUGUUCAAAGCUUAGUAUGGUUCACAAGCAACUCAGAUCAUUUCUAUAAUUUUUAUUGACACUAGCUUGUCACACGUUUCUAUAAUUUAUUACACAAUCCAAAAAACUCAUUAUCUCUUAUCUCUUUGGGUUUCAUUCACUUACAAUCUAAAUAAAACUAUUUUGCUAAACCACUUUUAUAAGUGAUGGCUGAAUACAAGACUCAUCACAUUUUUCUUAUACCUAGUAUACUAGUAGUUUUUAUUUCCGCUAACCCUAGCCAACUAUCCAAAUGAAGAUAUUUGGG